AGGGGGAAAAAUUAAUAAUUAUUAUAUUAAUAAAAAAAUUUUUAAAAUAUAUUUUAAUGGGGGUUAAAGUAUAUAUAUAGAAAAAAUUUUUAAAUUUAUAGUAAAAUAGUAUUGUAAAAGAAUUUUGAAAUAGGGGAAAUUAAUUUAAGAAAAAGUAAUUUUAAUUUAUUGUAUCUUGUGUAUCAGAGUUUAUUAAUAAUAUUUUUUAAAUAAAAAUUUCUCGAAUUUAAAAGAGUUAAUUAAUUAUAAAAGUUAAUGUGGUAUAAUUAUUUUUAAUAAUUAAUUAGAAAUGAAAUGUUAAUCGUUUUUAAAAAUAUCUAGUUUUUUUAGAAAAAAAUUUAAUUUUAAAUAUUAUAAUUUAAAAAUUUUUAUUUAAUAAAAUUUUAAUAGUAUUAAUAUUAAAUAUUUUAAGGGAUAAGCUUUAAAAUAAAUUUUUAUAAUUAAAUUUAAAAUUGAUUAAAAUUUUAAAAUUUAAAUUGUUUAAUAAAUUAUAAUUUUUUAUAAAUAAUUUAAUUAUAAUUAAAAUUUAAUAGAAAAUUUAAAUUUUUAUAAAAAAAUAUAUUUUAAUAAAAUAAAGUUAAAUAUAAUGAUAAAAUUAGUAUAUAAAUUCAAAUAAAUAAAUAAAUUUAAUUAAAGUUAUUUAAAGGAAUUCGGCAAAAUUUAUAUUCACUUGUUUAUCAAAAACAUGUCUUUUUGGAAAUAAUUUAAAGUCUAAUCUGCCCACUGAUAAAUUAUUAAAGGGCUGCAGUAUUUUGACUGUACAAAGGUAGCAUAAUCAUUAGUCUCUUAAUUGGUGACUUGUAUGAAAGAUUGGAUGAAAUAUAUACUGUCUCUAAUUAAUUUAUAAAAUUUAAUUUUUUAGUAAAAAAGCUAAAAUAAGUUUAAAAGACGAGAAGACCCUAUAGAGUUUAAUAAUUUAUUUAAUUAUUAUUAAUAUUUAAAUUUUAAAAUUAAAAUUAAAUAAAUUAUUUUGUUGGGGCGAUAGAAAAAUUAAAUUAACUUUUUUUAUUUUUAAACAUAAAUUUAUGAAUAGAUGAUCCAUUAAUAAUGAUUAAAAGAAAAAAUUACCUUAGGGAUAACAGCGUAAUUUUUUUUUUUAGUUCAAAUAGGAAAAAAAGUUUGCGACCUCGAUGUUGGAUUAAGAUAAAAUUUAAAUGCAAAAGUUUAAAAUUUUGAUCUGUUCGAUCAUUAAAAUCUUACAUGAUCUGAGUUCAAACCGGUGUGAGCCAGGUUGGUUUCUAUCUUUAAAUAAAAAUAAUAUUUUAGUACGAAAGGAUCAAGUAUUAAAAAUAAUUUUAAUAAACUGAAUAUUAGUAAAUAAUUAGUUUA
rnacentral:rRNA from 1 species